AACUAACGCUGGCGGCGUGCCUAACACAUGCAAGUCGUACGAGAAAGUUGGCUUCGGCCGAUGAGUAAAGUGGCGCACGGGUGAGUAAUGCGUGGAUAAUCUGCCCUUUAGUUGGGAAUAACGUACCGAAAGGUGCGCUAAUACCUGAUAAUACUGCAUAACUACUGUUGUGUAGUCAAAGAAGGCCUCUGUUUACAAGCUUUUGCUGAAGGAUGAGUCCGCGUACCAUUAGCUGGUUGGUGGGGUAAUGGCCUACCAAGGCUACGAUGGUUAGCUGGUCUGAGAGGAUGAUCAGCCACACUGGAACUGAGACACGGUCCAGACUCCUACGGGAGGCAGCAGUGAGGAAUAUUGCGCAAUGGGGGCAACCCUGACGCAGCAACGCCGCGUGAGUGAGGAAGGUUUUCGGACCGUAAAGGCUCUGUCGAGCGGGAAGAAAUGUAUCAUGGCUAAUAUCCAUGAUACUUGACGGUACCGCUAAAGG
rnacentral:rRNA from 1 species